UACGGAGGAUCCAAGCGUUAUCCGGAUUUAUUGGGUUUAAAGGGUGCGUAGGCGGCUUUUUAAGUCAGGGGUGAAAGACGGUAGCUCAACUAUCGCAGUGCCCUUGAUACUGAAGAGCUUGAAUGUACUUGAGGUAGGCGGAAUGUGACAAGUAGCGGUGAAAUGCAUAGAUAUGUCACAGAACACCAAUUGCGAAGGCAGCUUACUAAAGUAUGAUUGACGCUGAGGCACGAAAGCGUGGGGAUCAAGCAGG
rnacentral:rRNA from 1 species